GACGUAGGUGGCGAGCGUUAUCCGGAUUUACUGGGCGUAAAGCGCGUGCAGGUGGUUUGAUAAGUCGGGCGUGAAAUCCCCCGGCUCAACUGGGGAACUGCACAGGAAACUAGCGGGCUUGAGUUCGGGAGAGGGAAGCGGAAUUCCGGGUGUAGCGGUGAAAUGCGUAGAUACCCGGAGGAACACCGGUGGCGAAGGCGGCUUCCUGGACCGGACA
rnacentral:rRNA from 1 species